UGUUCUGUGGCUUAGUUGGUUAAAGCGCUGGUCUAGCAAAUACAGAGCCGUGGGUUCGAAUCCCACCAGAACGC
rfam:Aedes albopictus isolate Foshan contig69744, whole genome shotgun sequence.